rnacentral:rRNA from 1 species
CAUCACUGCCCAACCUUGACAGAACUCAGAAGCUAAGCAAAGCUGAGCCUGGUUAGUACUUGGAUGGGAGGCCGCUGGGAAUACCAGAUGUCACAGUGGAGC